ACCAGAUUGAACUGCAACAUUUAACACAAAUCUGUUUUUCAAAAUGGCAAAAUAUCUUUUACUAACAUUAUUAUUUAUAGCUACAAUUCACUGUGUGUGGACAGAGAUCAGACUGGAGCAGCCAUCUUCUCUGGUGAAAAGAGCUGGAGAAAGUGUGAAGAUGUCCUGUGUUACAUCAGGUUAUUCUAUGACAAGCUACAACAUGCACUGGAUACGACAGAGACCAGGACAAGGGCUCGACUGGAUUGGGUGGAUGAACACUGGAAAUAACGCACCAACUUACGCCAGUGCCUUUCAACAACGCUUCACUCUGACUGAAAAUGUCCCCAGCAGCACCCAGUACAUGGAGAUCACAGGUCUGACAGCAGAAGACACUGCUGUUUACUACUGUGCCCGACAAGCACAGUGACAGGAAGAAUGAAGCUCAUGUACAAAAACAUCCAACCAAGAGCUGCUGUGGAUGUUCCUCUCAAACACAGACUGGACAUUCACUCUAACACAAUUACAACAAAAUGUGACAUUUUUAUUUUUCUAUGUUAAAAUCACAACCACAAGCAAUUACAAAUAUUAUACAUAUUUUACCUUUCAAAUCACUAUAAAAUCUAAAUGAUCUAAGCUUUGUUCAAAAUAACCGGUGCCAUUUGAUUAGAAAUGACAUAAAAGUCCACCACCCCCGAACUGUGACAAGUUUAAAUAUAAUAUAAUGUUUAUGUAUAUACUUAAGCUUUUGAGAAAUACAUGUCAUUUGUUACAAGAUAAAACUGUUUUUAUUGUCUGGGCUUAGAUGAAGAUGAGGCUUUAUUCAAAAUGUGAAAUUUUAGGAACCUGC